UGGGGCAACCAUUUAAUGGAUUUAAAUGCUGAAAAGAUUUCUACAUCUGGGUUAUUAAUUGAAGAAUCAAGAACAGACUUUCAAAAUACUACGAUUUACGCUUUCAAUAAUGGAAAUGCUAUGAAUAAUGACUGCAACGACUGUACCAUUCAAUGCGUAUGAUGUCAAACACAUUAAAGGUAGAGACAACCUCAUCGCUGAUUGUCUCUCACGACCUUAGAACAUUAUUAUCUUAAAGAAAGCUUUUCAAUCUUUCUUUUUUUUUAAGGGGAAGGGUGUUACAUGAUAAUACAUAAUCAUGUAAAUGAUACUUAUUAUUGGUAUAUACGUAAAUAUUAUUAGUUAACUAAUUAGUAAAAUGCCUUACUCAUACAUGCAUGUGUAUGUUAACCACAAUAACAGGAAAGCUUACGUAUAGGACGUGGUCAACCUACUGACCACAAACAACUUACAGGAUACAUGGUUAAUCAACUGACCACAGUUUACGCACAAGCUGUUAAUCGUACGUCAUUGUGCAAUCAUAUAUAAGCCGAAAAUCGAACGUUGUAGUUAUGUUGGUGCUUAGUAUAAGUCCACAUCAGAAGAAAGCUCAUAUAAAAGAAGACGAACUAUUUAAGAAAAGAAUCAAAUACAGAUAUAUAUCCUA